rnacentral:rRNA from 1 species
AUUGAACGCUGGCGGCAGGCCUAACACAUGCAAGUCGAGCGAGCGGCGGACGGGUGAGUAAUGUAUGUGCCUCUGCCCGAUGGAGGGGGAUAACUACUGGAAACUGUUGCUAAUACCGCAUACUAUCGGCUGAACCCAUAUGGGAUUAGCUAGUAGGUGGGGUAAAGCCCUACCUAGGCGACGAUCUCUAGCUGGUCUGAGAGGAUGAUCAGCCACACUGGAACUGAGACACGGCCCAGACUCCUACGGGAGGCAGCAGUGGGGAAUAUUGGACAAUGGGCGAAAGCCGGAUGCAGCCAGGCCGCGUGUGUGAAGAAGGUCUUAGGGUUGUAAAGUACUUUCAGUGGGGAGGCGUUACCCGCAGAAGAAGCACCGGCUAACUCCGUGCCAGCAGCCGCGGUAAUUC